rnacentral:rRNA from 1 species
GAGUUUGAUCAUGGCUCAGAUUGAACGCUGGCGGCAGGCCUAACACAUGCAAGUCGGGCGGUAGAGAGAAGCUUGCUUCUCUUGAGAGCGGCGGACGGGUGAGUAAUGCCUAGGAAUCUGCCUGGUAGUGGGGGAUAACGCUCGGAAACGGACGCUAAUACCGCAUACGUCCUACGGGAGAAAGCAGGGGACCUUCGGGCCUUGCGCUAUCAGAUGAGCCUAGGUCGGAUUAGCUAGUUGGUGAGGUAAUGGCUCACCAAGGCGACGAUCCGUAACUGGUCUGAGAGGAUGAUCAGUCACACUGGAACUGAGACACGGUCCAGACUCCUACGGGAGGCAGCAGUGGGGAAUAUUGGACAAUGGGCGAAAGCCUGAUCCAGCCAUGCCGCGUGUGUGAAGAAGGUCUUCGGAUUGUAAAGCACUUUAAGUUGGAGGAAGGGCAGUAAAUUAAUAACUUUGCUGUUUUGACGUUACCGACAGAAUAAGCACCGGCUAACUCUGUGCCAGCACG